AUGGAACCAGAGAAGACUGCAGAGGAACAAGAAAAGGAACAACCUCAAAACCAAAACUAGACACAGCCCAAGCAGUAGCCACAGGCCACUGCAGAGCAAAUUCGACUUGCACAGAUGAUUUCGGACCAUAAUGAUGCUGACUUUGAGGAGAAGGUGAAACGAUUGAUAUCACAGGCAAAAACCAGGAUGAAUGUGUGAUUGCUUUGCAUGACUGCAAUGGAGAUGUCAACAGAGCUAUCAAUGUUCUCCUGGAAGGAAAUCCAGACACGCAUUCCUGGGAGAUGGUUGGGAAGAAGAAAGGAGUCCCAGGACAGAAGGAUGAUGGACAAACUGAAUCUAAUGAAGAAGGAAAAGAAAAUCGAGCAGGGCGUGACCAGGACAGAGACUAUAGUUGGCGUCGUGGUGGACCACCAAGACUGGGGGGGAGGGGGGGGAUGCCAGCCAUGGGUGAGUUUCAGGGCCAGGAAAAUGGAUUGGAGAAGAGGCACAGACAGAGGCAGAGGCAGAAGAGGCCCUGGCCUUGGUAGUUCUGGUAGGCGAGGAGGAAGGUUUUCUGCUCAAGGAAUGGGAACCUGUAUCCCAGCUCAUUUUGCAGAGUCAGCCAACACUGAUAAGUAUGGCAAAAGCAGUGGCAAUACAUGGAACAACACUGUCCACUUUGAACCAGAUUAUGGAACAAGACUUGAUUUCAUUGGGGUUGAGGGGUCAAAUUAUCCCCGAAAAUUUGAGACUGUUCCUGGUGCAUGGAGGACUGCAACAGAAGAGUGGGGAACUGAAGGCUGGAAUGAAGAUCUUUCUGAGACCAAGAUCUUUACCGCCUCUAAUGUAUCUUCAGUGCCUCUGCCUGUGGAGAAUGUGACAAUCACUGCUGGUCAGAGAAUUGACCUUGCUGCUCUGUUGGGGAAAACACCAUCUUCAAUGGAGAAUGAGUCAUCUAAUCUGGAUCCAUCUCAGGCUCCUUCCCUGGCUCAGCCUCUGGUGUUUAGAAAUUCGAAGCAGAAUGCCAUAUCACAAGGGAGUACAUUUUCUCAUCAUAGCAUGGUGAGCAUGUUGGGGAAAGGAUUUGGUGAUGUUGUGGAAGCUAAAGAUGGCAGUACAACAGGCUCCCAAGACUGCACAGGCCUUUGCUCAACUGGCAGCUCAACAUUCUCAAUCUACCACCUCCUCUUGGGAUAUGGGCUCAACAACACAAUCACCACCACUGGUGCAGUAUGAGUUGAAGAGUGCAAAUGAUUCGAUAGUGCACAGUCCUUUUACAAAGCACCAGGCAUUUGCCCCAUCUUCAACCAUGAUGGAGGUAUCCCUUCAGGAGAAGCCACCUGCAGUGGCUACCUCCACAGCUACACCACCUCCCCCCUCUUCUCAGCCAAGCAAAUCCACCUCGGCUCCACAGGUGUCUCCGGGGUCUUCAGACAACCGGUUCCCCAGCCCUCAGCUGGCUCAGCAGAAACUGAAACAGCAAAAGAAGAAAACCUCCUUGACGUCCAAGAUUCCUGCUCUGGCUAGGGAGAUGCCUGGCUCAGCAGAUAUCUCAGGGCUAAAUCUGCAGUUUGGGGCAUUGCACUUUGGGUCAGAGUCUGUCUUUUCUGAUUAUGAGUCCACCCCUACCACGAGCGCCUCCUCAAGCCAGGCUCCUAGUAGCCUGUAUACAGCACGGCCAGUGAGUCUUCAUGUACAGUUUCAUCUAAUCAGAGGCAGGAGUCUGGUUAUCAGAGUGGCCCGAUUCAACUUAUACCUCCCAAAAUAAUGCUCAGGGCCCUCUAUAUGAACAGAGAUCCACAUAGACACGGCGGUAUCCCAGCUCCAUCUCUUCAUCACCCCAAAAGGGCCUGACUCAGGCUAAGAAUGAUUUCAGUUCUGUGCAGGCCAUGCACUUACAGACCUCACAAUCUGUUGAAGGUGCACAAGCUCUGCAGUGAAAUCUGAAUCACCUUCCACUUCCAGUUUACCCUCUCUCAAUGAAACAGUACCUGCAGCUUCCUCACUGACGACAGCCAAUCAGCAUUCAUCCUCCUUAAGCGACUUGAGCCGUAGUGAGGAGACUCCAAAUACCACCAUCACACAACAUAGCAGUGCAUUAUCUACACAGCGGAAUACCCUUUCAUCAUCAACAUCUUCUGGGCGUACUUCAACAUCCACUCUUUUGCAUACAAGUGUGGAGAGUGAGGUGAAUCUACAUUCUUCCUCCAGCACUUUCUCUACCACAGCCAGCACUGUCUCUGCACCUCCCCCAGUGGUCAGUGUCUCCUCCAGUCUGAAUAGUGGCAGUUGUCUGGUCCUUAGCCUGGACAACAACUCCAUUGUCACAGCCUCAACUGAAGCUCAGUUGCUACAACUUCAGGAAAAGCUCCUCCCAACCUUCCUCCUGGAGUCCUGUCAUUGUUGCCUAAUUCAUACACUAUGGCUCCCGGGUUGUUACAUGUCUGCCUACCCGCCACAAGUGUAUGGUUAUGAUGAUUUACAGAUGCUCCCGACAAGAUUCCACUGGAUUACUACAGUAUCCCGUUCCCCACACUUGCCACUCCACUUACUGGGAGGGAUGGCAGCCUGGCCAGCAACCCUUACACUGGCGACCUCACCAAAGUCGGCCGUGGGGAUGCCUCCUCCCCACCCCAGCCACAACCUUGGUCCAACUCCAACAGAACCAGAUACAGACUCACCUCACCACGCAGCAGACAUUCCUGGCCCUGCACUGCCUCCUGGCUAUAGGUACACCAGCCUGCCAUACUACACAGGGGUCCCGGGCCUUCCCAGCACCUUCCAGUAUGGGCCUGCUGUGUUCCCUGCGGCUCCUACCUCUUCCAAGCGGCAUGGUGUGAAUGUCGGUGUGAAUGCCUCAGCUACCCAUUUCCAACAGCCAAAUGGAUAUGGGUCUCAUGGAUACAAUACUGGUCUAUCAGUCACCUCCAAUAACAUGGGCACACCAGAUAUCUCAGGUUCUGUGUACUCCAAAACCCAGUCCUUUGAGAAACAAGGGUUUCAUUCCUGUACUCCUGCUGCCUCCUUCAACUUGCCUUCAGCCCUAGGAAGUGGAGGGCCCAUCAAUCCAGCCACGGUUGCUGCCUACCCACCUGCCCCCUUUAUGCAUAUUCUGACAUAGCAGCCACACUCUCAGAGCCUUCACCAUCACCUGCAGCAGGAAGGCCAGACCAGCUCCAUCCUGCAGAAGUCCCAGACCAACAAGUCUGCCUACAACAGCUAUAGCUGGGGGGCCAACUGAGGCCCUGACCCUCUUCUCCUGUCCCAUCUUCUGAGAGGGCUUCUCAGCCUGG